rfam:Ricinus communis cultivar Hale ctg_1100012362470, whole genome shotgun sequence.
GGGUGCGAUCAUACCAGCACUAAUGCAUCGGAUCCCAUCAGAACUCAGAAGUUAAACGUGCUUGGGCGAGAGUAGUACUAUGAUGGGUGACCUUUUGGGAAGUCCUCGUGUUGCACCCC